ACAUUUUUAAUAUAUAAAGUAUAUAAAGCUUCCAACUUUAAAGAUCAAAAGAAAAAUGUA
rnacentral:tRNA from 1 species